AAAAAAGAAAAUAACGUUUAAAAUGUAAAUAAAGAAAAUAUCAAAUUAAGAAAAGUUUAAUAUUGAUAAAUUAUGCCAGGCUACCCAAUAGUCAUGCUUCUCAAAUUAUUGGAAGACCUUAUACAUUCACUCAUAUGUAGAUAGACUGAGAAAUCAUUUCUUCCUAAUGAAUAUUUUAGUCUAUAUUUCACCCUCAUAUCUAGACUGUACCUGAUUGUAGGUUGCUAUUAGGUUUAAAAUUCAAGAAUAGGAGAAUCAAGGUGCAGAGAGAUUGAAUUUUCACUUUUGAUUUUGCCUCUAACUUCCUAGGUGAAUUUGAACUAGCCCUUAUGAUCACAACAAUUUGUAAGUCAUAUUGGUUAAUAAUCAGAGUAGCCACUGAUUUUUUUUUUUUUAAUUUCUUAAAACAGGGUCUCAUAUAUCAAGCUGAACUCAAACUCCCUGUGUUUGUGAUCAAACUGAGGAUGGCUCUGUGAUCCUGAUUCUAUUGUCUCUCUUAAGUGUUGGGGUUACAGAAAUGUACUACUAUACUUGCUUUAUGUGGGAUCAAGAUGGUGUGAAUGAUAAGCAGGAACUCUACUGACUGAACUAUAUUCCAUCCCUAUUGGUUUAUUUUUGAUGAUGUAUGAAUAGAUUAGAGUCUAUCAUCCCGAUUUUAUACAGCUAGAUUCGGGAAAUGACUGAAAAGUUGAAUAAAGAAUGCAGAACAGGACUAGAGGAGAGAAAUGGGUGCAGAGUCUGUAGCAGAAGACAGACACUGUUUCUGAUGUUAUGCCGCCCUGCUUUAGCCUUCUUCAUCAUGCCAGUGCGCUGCUCAUGUUAUGUCAUAGUGACCCUAAAGUCCCACAUUGAGAUCAAUAAAGACAUCCAAGUUAUUUUGUAAAAAGCAUUGUUAAUAAGACAAACUUUAAAAUAAGUUUGUGUUAGUAGUUCAACAAACAUGAAAUUAAGAGGGCAGUUGGUGGCUAAGGGCUGACUUUUCCUCAAAUGCUACUCAUGGUGUGUGGGUUUCCACCUUUUGCAAAAGGAACCUUCAACUGUAACCUUAACCCUAACCUUAACCCUUCAACCCUAACCCUAGCUUCAAUCUUCUUGCACGAAACAAAUGAUUUUUCGUAUCAGUUCAAAUUACAAAAUGCAAUUACAACUUGGUCUCCAUUUAAAAUGUAAAUACCAUAGAAAAGGAAAUUGCUGACUCAUUGGUUAAUCUACUUAGUUCUUUGUAUAUAGCCUCAUUGAAUAGACAUUUCAAAUUUGUACUUUGUGUCAGCCUUGGUUGACUUUGAAAAUAUGAUGGAAAAUUACUUAUCUACAGAAUCUGAAAGUGUUUAUCACCUAGAAAUUGAUAGUAAUGUGUUUUAUUCCUAAGGACUGAGAGUGGUUGGAAAUUAGUCUUGAAGAGAAGGUAUUCAAAGAAUACCACAUUUCAAUUACAAAGGAGAAAUACUUCAAGAGGUCUAUUGUACAAGAUAGUGUCUAAAAGCUUUUUAUUUCACUUGUGGAACAUGGUCUAAUUUUGUAGUUCAUGUAGACCUAGAAUUCACAAUAUAUCCCAGGCUGGCCUUUAACUCUACCUCCUCAUACACCCAUCUCCUGAGUACUUUGAUUGCAGGUGUGUACCGUUAUUCUUGAAAAAUUCUAAGAGAAUAGAUAAUGUGCUCUAACUAUAAAAGUGACAAGCACAUGAACUAAUCCAUCAGUUAAUUAUCCAGAUUUGUCAUUCAACAUACUUCAAAACAGCAUUUAUUUAUAUACAAAUACAUAUAAUUGUAUGUUAUUUUUAAUUUUGUAAUGAGACUUUCAGUUAUUAGUCAAUGGUAUGUGCAGCUAGUUUUCAGUUUUAAUCUUUUACAAAUAUUGAAGAAAAAUGUGCAUUGGCAAUGGGAUGUAAUCUUAAAGAUAACUAGAAGAGAAAUAAAAGAAAUUGUGAUUGGUAAACAGUCAACUGCAGGGCCAAGCAGAGGUAUUUUCUCUGCACUUCUUGAGUAGUGGUUCUCAUCCUUCCUAAUGCUGUGACCCUUUAGUACAAUUCCUCAUGUUGUAGUGACCCUCAACCAUAUAAUUAUUUUCAUUGUUGCUUCAUAACUGUAAUUUUGCUACUGGUAUGAAUCAUAAUGUUCUUGGAUGAGCCCUGGGAAAGGCUUGUUUGAGACCCAUAGGGUAAGAACGGUUGCUCUAGUCUACUCCCUGCUCGUUGCUUUGACUGUCACACACUGAAUCAAAUUUAGAGUAGACUGAAAUGAAUUCUUUAAAUCUAGGAUAAAAGCAUGUGCAAUGCAUGCUUUUCCCAUUACUUACUUUGUGCUAAACAUGAUAUAAGGUUCUGGAAGUGAAGAGAAAAAAAUCUACAACUAUUAAGAAGAUCCUGCCUCUUCAUUCAUAAAGGCCUCAGAGGCUAAUGUGAGUGAAGAAUUGUAAAGAAAACAAAUUAUUGCAAAUAUUGAAGGUAACAAAUAGUGUGAGAAAGGAGCUCACCUGAACAUGGUAAAGGAGAAGUAGGUAGACAGGAACAGUGGAAAUGAUACUGAAAAUUAUAGACAUUGAACUCUGUUUCUGAGGAUGAAGAUUUAAGUGCCAAAACCUGGCAGUAUGGGGACAGAAUAUUUCAAUCAAAAGCUGUGAACGUUUUAGACAGAGUGGUGAAAACAGUAACAGGCAGAAGAUGCAAACACAAGUUACUUUUCAUGUUAACUAGGAAAUGGUUCUCGGGCUUCAGGUUAGCUCUCCAUUCACAACAAGUAGUGAAGGUCUCAAAGAGCUUUGGGCUAUAACAUGUGUUUUGUAUUCCCCAUAUAAUCAUAUAGUAUAUCGUUAGUUGUUGUCUGCCAUAAUUUAUUCAAAGCUGAUAUAUUUUAAAAUAUUAUAAAGGAAAUUGUUUCAAACAAAAAUUUGUUUUUCUUGGUUUUCUUUAAUUUUGAGAUUGAAGCAGUAGGAUCGAUGGAGAGUCAUGCUUGCUUCUUUGUUCAGGUUGUUGAGACAUCACACCUUGUGCACUUAUGGUUCCCCAGUAGGUAUCAGACACACUUCAAGGGUUCUACAGCCUGCCAAGCAAUUUAAAACACUGAGUGAGAGACAGGCUCUCUCAAACCAGAAAGUGGAGAAAAAGAGAGGAGUACAUUUAAAACCAAGUUUUUAAUGCUGCAUGCACAUGAAGGUGCGUGUAUACCUGCACUCAUGUGGUCACACACAUAUGCAGCAUAACAGUGGAAGAAAUCAAUGGAAGAGUAAGGAAGAUGAGCAUCUACACCCACCAAGGGUCGUGGGAAUUUCAUAAUUUCCCAAACUGAAAACCAUAUCAGCUUCUCCUAGACUGGCUUUGAAUACUGUGCUGAUACUGAUACAUAAAUGUAAACAAAAUUUUUAUUUCCUCAUACCAAAUAAUUUCAACUUAUUCUUUCUUUACUUUUGUUCAUCUGUUUAUUUUUGUUUUUCUUUUCUUUCUUUUUUUUUUUUUUUUUUUUCAGAUAGUGUCUUAUAUAGCUUAGGUCUAGAACUCACUUUCCAAUAAAGACUGGCAGUUUGAUUAGCUGCAAUCCCUGUCCUAUCUUGUAAUUAUCAGAAAUAGGGGCUCCUUAUUGACUACAGUAACUGAGGCAGUUUCUGAUGCUGGGUACAAAGAAGGUCUGUAUUAGUACCUAUGAUAGAGCUUACUCAAAUAGUCGACGGUAAGGUUCUAAGUAACUUUUUUAGAGUCAUUAAGAGCUGGGAGUAGGUUAAACUCAUGAGUUCACGUUUUAAAUGAGUUCUCCCAAGUGGUUUUCUUCAUAAUAAGGGCAAGACAUCAUUUGUAUCAUCUUUUGAGUGUGGUAUAGAAAAAGGUGGCGCAUGCCUUUAAUCCCAGCCCUCGGGAAGCAGAGGCAGGCAGAUUUCUGAGUUCGAGGCCAGCCUGGUUUACAAAGUGAGUUCCAGGACAGCCAGAUCUAUGCAGAGAACCCUGUCUUGAAAAAAAAAAAAAGAAGAGAAGAGAAGAGAAGAGAAGAGAAGAGAAGAGAAGAGAAGAGAAGAGAAGAGAAGAGAAGAGAAGAGAAGAGAGGAGAAGAGAAGGAGAAUCUAUACACCACAGAGAAAGAAAGAGUUGUGGUUCUUAAGUCCAGGAUAACAUUUUAGGCAUUAAAGAAAGCCUCUUAGUUGCCCUAGUCUACAAUGGCCUAUUCUUAUGUAAUAUUUCUAACUUAUACAGCACUGAAAACAAGAGCAGGAGAUUCCUCACAGACAUAACAUUUAAAUGUCCAGGAACUGCUUCAGAGCAUUCUUGAUCUGUUGAUAUCAGGAAUUGUAAUGAACAGUUUCUCACACAAAUUUUUAUCUAAUUUAGCCUGAAUUUUUAUCUUAAUCCAACAAAUAUAUCAAUAAGCCACUGAAUUAUACAUCACUACAUAAAUGGUUAUGUGGUCAGUAUAUUGCUACCCAUAGAAGAAUCAAAGUGAAUGCAUGCCAUGAGUGAAAUUUUAAGGAGAAUUAUUUAAUCAUCUCAUUAAUAUGCAUACUGUCUUUUAGACUUUUCAAAGCAUGCAUUUGCAUUCUAUUAAUAUACUUGUUAUAAAAAAUGAGUCACAACUGUGCUUAAUGUAAGUUCAGAAAAACCACUGCCAUUUAGCUACUCUAAUAGUAGGUACAUACUUUGAGUUAUUAUGCUAUAAAACCAAAUAUAUAGUAAGUAAAUACUCAUUAUUCAGAUGGACUCUCUCCAUUUAAUAAAAAUAAAUAAUAUGUCCCUGAAUUGCUAGCCUCAAUACUACCUAAUUUUUUUUAACAAUUUUGUUGGGAUCCUACCAUACUAUUAAUUACUUGAGUCUUAUUUUUCUAUGGUACAUAGUCCCUUGCACCAUGUAAUAUUCAUGGAAAAGAACUGUCUACACAACACAAUACUGUUGGAAUUUGAUCUCUAUUUAGUUGUGCAUAAUCUACUUCAUUUAAAAUCUGAGGUGAAGGUAAGCAAGUGUCUCCUAGCUGUUGUGUCUUUCUGCAGUAAUGAAUUCACAGUCUUGCUUAGAGUCUCGUAGGAUUAAGGCAUGCAACAGCUCUGUAGAAUGACUCCUCAACCUUACAUUUUUAUAUGACAAAAAUCAAGACACGGAAGAAUUAUUCUUAAUAUGAUCCUUGUCACAUUUCAAAGAAAUUGUGAAGAUGGAAAACUGUGUUUUGGAUAGGUAUGUGCUUGAGUCUUUUGAUGGGACACUGCUUUGCUAUGCCCAAAAUUUUGUCAUAUGAACAUACGCAAUGUACAACUGAAGGUCUUCAAAAAAAAAACCAUAUACUUUGUAAAAUAUAUAUGUAUAUGGUUUUUAAAGAUUCAGCGAGAUAUUUUCUCAAAUAUAUAUCCUUAAAUCUGACUUUUAUUUCAAAAGCUGUAGGCCCAUGCCAUCCCAUUCAUCUGAGUCCUGGGUUCUCCAUAUACAUCAGUAUGUUUAGGGACAGAUAAGCCUUUGUUUAUCUCCAUAUGUUUAAAUCCUUCCUUGUAAUGGUUUACAAAGCAUUUCAUCAGACAUGGAAUACACUUCUAAUAUGGGGAAAACAACAUGAAAAUUGUCUCUUAACAUGCCCUCUAGGAAAAAUAUUUGUGAUAUUAAAAGUUGUUUGCAAUUAUAUAUGAUUUUGAAAAGUAAUUUCAAUACAUUAAUAAUUUGUCUGUUACAAAUUAGCACAAACAAACAAAAUUAUUUCUUAAUUAUUUUAUUUUUAUAACCACUAAUCGUAUAACUCUUUUGAAACUAUAGCAUUGGUGUCUAUCUCUCAUGAGAUGGCACUUAAGACAAAUGUUUGUAUGCAUUCUCUGUUUUGAUCUUGAACAAAAUUAUCAUAGUAUGUUUUAGAAUUGGAUUGAUGAUUUAUCAUCAAUUUAUUUAUUUAUUGAGCCCUAUCUUAGAGUUUAAUCUAAUCUAAAUAUUUGAUCAUUUAAAUAAUAACUUGUGUGAAUCAAGACUUAAAACGUGGCUUCAUCAAUCAUUGGAGAUGGCACUGAAGUAAUUACCAUAAAUAUGGUAUUGAACUAACAUAAAUGACGAUGGAUAACAUAGUAUAGCAGAUAAAAAUAAUAUGGCUAUCAUAUAAUAAGUGUAUAUUUCCUGAACAACAAGAAUGAAAUCACCCACAGACACUUUUGAGAGGAGUCUCUUUAUAGCUCAGGAUAGCCUAAUAUUCACUAUGUAGCUAAAGGAGACCUUGAAUUUCUGCUCCUCUUGCCUCUACCUCCCCAAUGCUAGGAUCACAGGCAUUUAUCACAACACCCAGUUUGUGCAUUGCAGGGCUUAAACCUUGGGGAUUAUGUAUGCUAAAGCAUCCAUUCUACCAAUGAAAUUCUACCACAAGCUUCUUUAUGUAUACCAAGUUGGCCCUGAAAUUGCAAUUGUCCUUCCUUUGUGUCUUGCUUGGGUUAAAGGUAUCGAACAUCAUAUCGAGUGACAAUGCCUUUUGAGUGUAUGAUUGUGACACUAAUGAUGACCAGCAAAGCAAAUGAACAUAAGCAUAUAACCCUGAGCCCACCAAGCAACCUUCAGAAAAGUUGAGGGAGCAAGAGAUUGAGCUCUAUGAAAACUCUUUCAAAGAAAAUAAUUAAGAGACAGUACCUCAGUUUAGGUUGAAUAUAUGAAAAUAUCAUAAUGAAGUUCACUGGUUUGUACAAUUGACUAAAACAAACUAAAAACCUCAAAGCAACCUCCUAGGUUGAUGAAUACUCAGAAGUGUUGAAAAAUGAUGUGUCCUAAGACUAUCUGAAAGGAAAGAUCUGUGCAUCAUUAUCUUCCCUUUGAGCAUUUCUCGUUUGGCAGUUCCUGAGUUGUAUCCUGUGUGUAUAUAUGUGUGCACCAAAAGAUACAAUAACAAAACUUGAAGUCAAUUGCUGUCCGGAGGGCUUAAGAAACAUUCUAGAAAGUGAUCAAACCCAAGGAGGAUAUCAUGACAAAACAUCAGUCUAAAAGCACCUUAUCUGUAGUAUCAAAAUUGAAGAUAGUUAUGGGACUGAACAUUUCAAGUUGUGGGAACUAAAAAUAAUUACAGGUAGAGAGUAUCAUAGUGGCCUUGAAUUAGAGGACCAUUGGUGCCAGCAAUGUUAAAAUAGUCACCAACAAAACUAUGCUGAGACAACACACUUAAAAGAUUAUUUUUGUUUAUUCUUUGAGAUUGUCAUAUAUGAAUAUAAUGUAUCUUGACAAGAUCCACCAAACUCCUCCUCCCACUUCUCCUGGAUACAUUCCUAUUUUCUUAUCCUUUUCUUUAUUUUUAAAAUAAUUCACUAAGUCUGAGUGUGUGUGUGUGUGUGUGUGUGUGUGUGUGUGUGUAAGAGUAUGUGUAAAAGUGUGUAUAAGAGAGAGAGAGGGAGGGAGAGAAGGAGGGGGAAGGGGUGAGAGAGAGAGAGAGAGAGAGAGAGAGAGAGAGCAUAUAACUAUAAGAUCAUCUACUAGGACACAGGCAGCCUAUCAGCUGCCUAUACUAAAAAGAAAAUGACUUCCCUGUGUCCUUCAGCAAUGAUAACACCUCAGAGAUCCCCUCAUCCAUUUUGUAAUGAUGAUUAGCUUGGUCUUAUGUAGGCCUUGUGCAGGUAAAUGGAGCUGUUGUGAAUUCAUGAGUGCAAUUGUCAUAUCAUGCCAUGUCCCUAAAAGAGCAUUUCAGAACACUGCUCAUCUUCCACAUCUUAUGUCUUUCCAUGCUCUUUCCCUUAAUGUUCCUUGAACCUUUUAGGGGUUGAUACAAAUGUUCCAUGAAUAGUUGAGCACUCAGUAGUCCUGUAUCCUUAGCAAUUUGGUCUCUGCAUGCCUGCUGCCUAGUGGAAGAAAGAGGCUUCUUUUACCAAGGUUGAGAGCAGCAUCCAUUAGUCUGUGGAUAUAAGCAUAGAUGGUUAGAAGGCAGUUUGACCUGUUCCCCUUCAGCAAAACAAGCAUAGUGGCCCCUGCAGCCUAUGACCUCCCCAGUUACAGGCAUUUGACCAUGUUUACAGUUUCACGCAUCAAUUUUCUCCUGUGAAGCAGAACACAUAGCCACUCAGAAGGUAGUCAUGCCACUGCUGCACCACUGGCCACAUCUGGCCUGGCCCAUAUUUCAGUUUACAGAGUCCACUGCUUGCUAAGUACACUGGUAGCUUUUCCCCCUAGCAUUCUACAUAAUAGCCCAUGAAGUAUGGAAGCUACUUAACAGGGCGGAAGUUUCCAGAAUAGUUCCAGCUCAAUUCUAUUGUUCCCGAAAAAAAAAGUGUGUGCUAUCUUCACCAGAAAAGCCUUACUACCAACUUAUGGUGAGCAACCAAAAGCAACGGUAACAGCCUGAAAUAUAUUCAUUUUAUAAGCUCUACUGCAAGGCCUGUGGUUUCUUUUCCUCAUGAUGCUCUAGUGCAGUUUGCUUGGCUCCAACCCUGAAGGUUCUUCUGGGAAACUUACACUAAAUCCUUAUGCAUGCCAUUCUUCUAAAGUAACCAUAGUUUAAAAAUCUGUUUCUCUAGACAUGUCUCCUGCCAAGCAGGUCUUCUGACUGACUUCUUUACAAAUCUAACUCCACUUGUUUCCUCUCCCUCUUCUCCACCGCCUAUUUCAGUUUUAGCUCACCUUCAUAGGUGAGGCAUCAGACACUCCUCUUUCCUUGACCCAGUUCUUAAAUCAUCACCCACUCAUCAAUUGAUUGAAAUCUGAUGUUGGACAUGGUUUGUAAGUGAUCUUUAAUGCCUGCAAGUUUAUUGCACUUCUUUUGUAUUUCUACGCUUCUCUGUUUGCCUUUUUCACUGAGUCUUGAGCUGAGAUAUUCAGAAACCAUGUAGAAUUUAAGUCCUCUUUAACCGCUAUCAGCAGCUCUACACACCAUUCUCAGUUCUGCUGCCACUUUUGAAAUGGGAACAAGAUAAGCCUGCCUUUUCUGAGUGUCAGAGAACAGAGCCUAGAUUCUUUGAUGUGCCAUGGAAGGCCACAGAUGUAUAAAAGAAAAAACCCUGCAAUAUUCGCGCCCAACAUUUGUGCUUUCAGUUUCAUCAUUCUCUUUUUGAGCUGUCUUAUGAUGUCAUCAAAAAUGGCGCAGAGUUCUGUAAAGGUAUUUUACUGUCUGUUUUUCCUACUGUUUGUUUUUCCUUCAUUCUUUUCUUUUCUUUCCUUUUUUUUUGUCCAGUUUCAUAUGGUUUUCUUCCAUUCUUUCGACUCAAUCACCUCUGCUUUCGUAGUUCUCCUUACAAACUUAAUUUUAUGCAUCCUUUCCCUUGUGAGCCCUUCCUGAAUGUUUUCACAGAAUGAAUUUACAUUGUCUCUUUUAUUAUGGCAAUUAUCUCAUUAUGCUAUAAAUGAUUUAUUAUGUUUAUCUGCUGUUCUAAUAAGAAAUUCUUGGGCAUGGAUAUCGAUCAGUUGGUAAAGUGUUCCCAUGCAAACCUGAGGACCUGAGUUGAAUUCCUGGAAUCCAUCUGAGAAAGCCAAUAUGGUGGUGUGUAUGUACUUACAAUCCAAGCACUGGGGGGGGGGGGGGGCUGUGCUGGGGAGAAUAAGGUAGGCAUCUCCCUGAGGCUCACUGGGUCUACUCACUUCAAGCAAAUGAGAGACCCUGUUUCAAAAAGCAAGGUGGCUGACACCACUGAGGCAUUGACCUCUGUCCUCUACAUGCAUUCAAAUAUAUAAACACACACCCUCAUAUACAUUUAUGCAAAUGUGCACACGCAGAUAAAUGCACCAAUUUUCCUUAAAUGUUGAUGGUUAUAUCACUUCUCAUGAUGAUUAGCACAGAUUCAGGACUUAGUUAAUGUUUUGGAUAGAUAAAUGAAUUACAGGCAGUGGAGGGAGUUUCAAUUAAUAUGUGUUUGUUAUAGCUAAAUAAUGAUUGGUACCACAUUACACACUUAAAUGUGCACAUUAUUGGUUUAGCUUUUUCUUUUUUUUUCACUGAUUUUUCUUUUAUUAUUAUUAAUCAUUCCAUUUGUUUACAUCUCAAGUGAAAACCCACUUCCCAGUUAGCCCUUCCACCACCACCACCCCCCCAUCCCAUGAUAUCCCACUUCCCGGUUAUUCUUCCUCCACCCCCCACCUGCCCUCCCCCCUCCCUUUUGCCUGUAUGAGAGUGCUCCCCCAACCAUCCACACUCGCCCGUCCCAAUGCUCCAGCAUCCCCCUACUCUGAUCCAUCAAACCUCCCCAGGACCAAGGGCCUACCCUCCCAUUGCUGUCAGGCAAGUCUAUCCUCUGCUACAUAUGUAUCUGGAGCCAAAGAUCCCUUUAGGUACACUCCUUGAUUGGUGGUCUAGUCUCUGAGAGAACUGGGUGGGCAGGCCAGCCUAUGUUGCUCCUCCAAAGGGGUUGCAAUCCCCCUCUGCUCCUCCGGUCCUUCUGCCAGCUCCCCCACCAGGUUCCCUGAGUUCAGCCUGAUUGUUAGCUCCCAGCAUCCACCUCUGCAUUGGUCAGUUACUGGCCAGACCUCCUCCGGAACCCGCCACACUUGGUUCCUGUCCACAGGAGCCUCUUGACCAACAGUUUUGGGUUUGGUGUCUACAGAGAUGAUGUAUCCCCAGCUGGUGGAUGGCAGCAUUUAUGAUCCUGCUUUCUUUAACAAGUAUGAUUAAAUCACUACAGAAGAUUCACACUCCAGACCCUCUUCUUCUUUUCUAGCACAAGCUGUGUCUUCUCAGGUAACUAUAGUUGAAACAAAGAGUGACCUUCUGAUAUGAAGAGCCACAGAGCUGGAGUUAACGUGGAAAGAUUUCUCCAGGGCAUUUUGUCCAUUCCUAGUUAAACGAUAAAUGAAGUGGUUCAUAAGCAAAGAUGUGGAGCUGAUUAUAGUGACCCACACCUACUACCUCAGCACCUGGGAAAUAGAAUAGAAGACUCACCAUGGGUUCUAGGACAGCCUGAGCUGCAGAGUAAAGCUUGGCUCACAACAAACAAGCAAAGAAAAAUGAAAGAAAACUUACGUUUGCAAGUAAUAGUGUUCAAAUUAAAUAAUGUUUUAUAAAUAUCCCCUAUUUUCAGUUAUUCUGAGGGUAUUCAAGAAUACAAUUUUCUCAUAAAAAUGAUGUUCUGAUAUAGUUUAUAGGAAACUUCUUUGUCUUUUGUCAUUAUUAAGUUGAUAGAAAAUAUGACCCAGGGUACCAUUUGUUCUUUAAAUAUAGUCAUUGAAAAAUAUUUUUUCCAUACAUGACAUGUCAGAAUACACCCAGUGUUUUUUCCUCUGUCUACGAGUUUGACAAUAUAUUUCUGUGUGUAUGGAAAAAAAUCCAUGAAACAGUAAUUUUUCCCCAAUGAAGAAUAAUAUUGAUUAGGAAAUACAUAUCCAAUCUCUCUAAUUUCAGGAGUCAGUUUUAUUGAUCUCAUAUUUCUUAAGGAAAAUACAAAAAUGAUUUUCAACACCUCAGGCCAUGAAAGACCUAAAAUUUUCAAAAGUUUUCACAGAACUAUAUUUUAUAGUUUUGGGAAAGUAUACUUGUGACAUAAAACAUACUUGUUUUACUUUGCCAGUAAUUUGAAAGUGAGUUGUUCACAGUGUGGAAAAGUCCACAAUUUGUUGUAUGCCUCAGUCUUCACUCAUUGGAUUAGCCUUGUGGUUUGUAGAUGAGCAUGGAGCAGUGCACACAAAAAGAACCAUUUAUAAAGCACAUGAUUGAUUACAAUGGCAUCUUCUAAAAUCGGUCACUUAAAAUUUCCAUAAAGACCUGUGUGCUACAACCUGGUUCACCAGAGUUGUGCAAUUAAAAGGAGGUCGGUAAUAUCACUAAGAAAUGGGACCAGUAGGAGAAUUCAUGUUGUUGAAGACAUGUUUUUAAAGAAAAAAGGAGAAUCCCAUUCUAGUUUCUUUCUUGUCCAGCCUAUGAGGUAAACCAGUGCCCCUACCUAGCACUUACUUACCUCUCAUGACAUUACCCUGGGCCACAUAUAAUAGAACCAACUGAUCAUGUACUAAAACCUCCAAACUUAAAACCAAAAUAAACCUUUCUUUUUUAUGAGUAGAUUGUAUCAAGUAUUUGUUAUAGUACAACCAAGAUUACUAACUCAUUUACAUCUGUCAGCGUUUAGUCUCUAUGGCAGUCUAUCUCAGCUAAACUUAAAGAUAUAAAUAGUUGUUUGGGCUCAAAGUUCUAGGAGCUAUAGUUCAUGUUUUUUUGCCCCAUAGUUUCUGGGCCAAAACAAGGUUGAAUAUCAUUGCAUGAAGCAUGCAGAAAACAGAGUGAGUGGUCAAACUCAAAGUGAUCUGAAGACAGGGAAAGUUAACUGACAAUAAUCAGAGUCAUUCAAUAGAGCACCCCUGAAAUAGCAUAGUUCUAACUGGGCUUAACCUCCUAGAGCUUCUGCUGUCUUCCAGACGUCCCCAUCCGUCAAUCUUGUGUUGCCUGUGUGUCCUCUUUUUCAGAAUACUUUUUGUAUUACAAUAUAAUUACACUAUUUUCCCCUUCCUUUUCUUUUUUCUAACUCCUGCCAUGUACCUUCUUACUCUCUCUCUCAAAUUCAGGGCCCCAUUUUUAAUUACAUAAUGGACUCCAAAUGAAGAAUUCAGCUGAAGUUUCACUUAAUUGAUGUCAAGAUUUGGUUUGAUUGUCAUCUGCGCCUAUUUUUAAAUCUCUUGUAAAAUCCAAAAUGUGUUUCCUGGGGCUCUCUGUGCAUGUAUAUGAAUGCAGGCAUGUUUAUAAUGGGCUAUUAUUUUUAGGGGUAUGAAAAGGCUUCAUGAUCUUGCACUGCAAACAGUAGCUUAUUUUUACAUGCUGUGUAAUUGGUUCAUCUGCUUCUCAGCAAUCACUGACAAUAUUUCAGCUGAUCACAGACAAUGAAGUUUUAGGAUAAAAAAUGUGAACACCUCCUUGUUAUAUUAUUUAAAUGAAUUAAAAAGGAAAUCAAGAGGCGAUUAAAUGUCCCCAACCAGGAACAAAAUCAUAUAUGAGACACAUGUGCUCAAGCUCCAUGUCUCAGCCCAAGCUCCAUGAGUGUAUUUGUUCUCAUUUUUAUACAGACUACUAACACUCACUUCUAAUCCAGUUAGUCUGUUCACUAAUUCACUUAGUAUAAUACUACACAAGUGCCCAAACAUUGAGUCUUUUUAUGCCCCAGCUUGGACCAAUCCUUACUAAUGUCAACUAUGAUGAAAAAGCUCCUCUCAGGAAGUUGGCUCAUACUGAUGCUCAGUAGCAUCUUAGGUAAGGAAGUCCAAGGACAGAAUCAUUCUGCAACAAACGUUCUACUAACCCUAAACACAAGAUUGAAAGGGCAAUAUGGAGAGAAUUUUGUGUCUGUACCUAGGAGGAAGCCUUUCUCUUUUUUGUCUGUGUAGUAUUCUACAGCGAUUACCUUCUAGCAAAACAUUGGACCUAAAUACAAUAUGUUUUCAAUAGAUACGUACAUAUCUAUCAGUUACAGAAAUAUUUGGUAUGUUGCUGAUUUUCAUACAACAUUUGAUGAUAAACUUGUUUUUUAGAAUUGAAUAGUUAUUCUUAGUGUUUUGGGUAUCUAUUUUCUUUCUCCAUUGAUUUGGGUUCUGGAAACAAACAUGCGUUAUUUUUAAUGACUAUUUCUUAAUCUGAGUAUUAGUUAUAUUUAAUUUCUUAUUUUAUAUGUAAUCUAUUCAGUUUUGUAUAUUAUUAUAGUUAUUUAAUAUCAAAAUGAGAAAACUAAAACCUGACUCUUAGCUAGAUGAAAAAUAAAUGAGCUUUUCUAAAUAUAUCCAGAGUUCACCAAUACAACUUUUAAAGAAUUAUUGACAAUUGCAACAGCAGAGACAAUUCCAUAGACUGCUAAAAAAUACAAGUAUACUUCCUAUCUCUCAUAGUCUAGGGCAUUGUGUUUGUAAAACAAAUCUAGUGAAAAUAAUUUUCUUCUUAACUAAUGUGGAUGGAACUCUCACUGUUAAUUUACAAUAACUAUGGUAUUAUGCCUUGGCUCACAGGACCCUAACUAUACCAUUUAUUCCAAUUUCAUUGUCUGCUUCUCUCUUUUUUUUUUCUAGAUUCUGGUUUUCUUUUUUUUUUUUAAUUCUUUUAUUUAUUUAUUUUUUACACUCCAGAUUUUAUCCCCCAUCCUGGUCGACCCUCCCACUGUUUCACAUUCCAUACCUCCUCCUCACACCCCUGUCUCCAUUAGAAUGUCCCAAUAUCUCCCCAACCCCCAUCCCACCUGACCUCUAAAUACCCUAGGGCCUCCAGUCUCUUGAGUGCUAGAUGCAUCAUCUCUGAUAGAACACAGACCCGGCAGUCCUCUGCUGUAUAUGUGUUGGGGGCCUCAUAAUCAGCUGGUGUAUGUUGCCUGGUUGGUGGUCCAGUGUUUGAGAGAUCUCAGGGAGUCAGAUUAAUUGAGACUGCUGGUCCUCCUACAGGGUCUCCCUCCUCCUCAGCUUCUUUCAGCCUUUCUCUAAUUCAACCACAGGGGUCAGAAGCUUCUGUCCAUUGGUUGUGUGAAAAUAUCUGUAUCUCUUUCAACUACUUGUUGGGUCUUCCAGAGUGUGGUCAUGCUAAGUCCCUUUUUGUGAGUGCUCCAUAGCCUCAGUAAUAGUGUCAGGCCUUGUGACCUAUCCUUGAGCUGGAUCCUACUUUGGGCCUGUCGCUGGACCUUCUUUUCCUCAGGCUCCUCUCCAUUUCCAUCCCUGUAGUUCUUUCAGACAGGAACAAUUACGGGUAAGAAUUUUGACUAUGGGAUGGCAACCCCCUCCCUCAUUUGAUGCCCUGUCUUCCUGCUGGAGGUAGGCUCUUUAAGUUCCCUCGCCCUACUGUCGGGCAUUUCAUCUAAGGUCCCUUCCUUUGAGUCCUGAGAGUCUUUCAAAACAGAUACACUGAAUCUAAUAGAAGAGAAAUUGGGAAAGAGCCUUGAACUCAUUAGCACAGGGGGAAUUUUUCUAAACAGAACUCCAAUGACUCAUGCUCUAAGACCAAGAAUUGAUAAAUGGGACCUCUUGAAACUGAAAAGCUUCUGUAAGACAAAGGACAUAGCCAAUAAGAGAAAUUGGCAACUUAUAGAUUGGUAAAAAAAUCUUCACUAACCCCAUAUCUGAUAGAAGGAUAAUAUCAAAAAUAUAUAAAGAACUCAAAAAGCCAAGGAAACCAAUCAAAAUUGGGGUACAGAGCUAAACUGAGAAUUCACAACUGGAAUCUUGAAUGACUGAGAACACUCCUUCAUUUCUGGUGGGAUUGCAAACUAGUAAAACCACUCUAGAAAUCAGUCUGGAGGUUCCUCAGGAAAUUGGAAAUAGAUCUACCUGAAGACCCAAUAAUACUCUUGGAAAUAUACCCAAAAGAUAACUCACCAUGCCACACGGGCACAUGUUCCACUAUAUUCAUAGCGGCCUUAUUUGUGGUAGCCAGAAGCUGGAAACAACCCAGAUGUCCCACAACAGAAGGAUGGAUACAGAGAAUGUAGUUCAUUUACACAAUGGAAUAUUACUCAGCUAUUAAGAAUAAGGACAUCCUGAGUUUUGCAGGCAAAUGGAUGGAGCUAGAAAAUACUACUCUGAGUGAGGGAACUCAGACCCAAAAGGAUAUGCAUGGUAUGUAGUCGCUAAUAAUUGGAUAUUACCCCCCCCCCAAAAAAUAAAGUACAGAAUACCCAAGAUACAGUCCACCAAACUCCAAAAGGUCACCAAGCUGAAGGGCCCAAGUGAGGACACCUCAGACCCACUUGGGAGGGAGAAGAAAGCAAUCACAAGAGGGGAGGGAGGGAGGGAGGGAGCUGGGAGGGAAAGUAGACAGUGGAGUUGAGGAGGGGAACCUAACCUGGUAUUGGGUGAGGGAAAAGGACUGAAGCGCUGAGGGCCAGCAGAAAGAAUGGAAACAGGCAACCUUGGGGGGUAGGAGGUUACGGGGACCCUCUAGAAUGUUUCUCUUAUAAUAUAACCCCACCAAAGCCAGCAGUUCAUAUAUAUCAUCGCUUUUUAAAUUUCCUGCCUAUGACUGUUAUUACAUUCACCUAAAGCACCUUUCUCUCUCCUCUUUGCUUAGAAAGUUUUAUUUGCCCUAUUAUGUAUAGUUUAAUGCUCCUUCUCUGAUAGUCUCUUUGUGUCCCUCAGAGAAAGGGAGGGAGAAGAAAGAGUGGAAGGGAUGGAGGGGGGAAGGCAAGAGGGAUAAAAGGAGGGGGAAGGGAAAAAAAAGAAAGCUCUAUUCGUUCAGGGAUAGUAAAUGCUAAAACACCAUGUGGAUAGGAUUGCCCUAGGUUGAUACCAGUAUCCUGGUCACUGAGAAUGGUGACAGUGAAGGAGGAGGAGCAGCAGGAUGACGAGAAGGACAAGGAGCAUGUGGAUGAGGAAGAAAGAAAGAUGAUACCAAAAUUUAUUACAACCCCCAAAUUCAUACUAAAUAUUUAUUACAAAGAUUGCCCUCAAAAUAUAAAUAGGUCAAACAGUUAACUAUGAGAAAAUGAAGAGAAAGACAAAACGAUUUCAUGUUCCAAACAGAACCAUUCUCCUUAUGACAGAGACAGCUACCCACCCUAAGGACCAUAACAAAGAGACAUGGAAUGUGCAGUUCAUGUUCUCACCACAGCAUCACCAACAUCACUGUGUUCUGAUGAUCCUUCUUCACACCCGAGACAGAAUUUGAAAAUCCUGGGUUUCAAAAAGAAUGCGAUUUACUCCUAGUCCCCUGAAUCUACAAUUUUGAUCUUAUUUGUUAAAAUCAGUCAGUAUUUGAAUUAUAUUCCACGCUAAAAUAAGAAUAAAUGACACUUAUUUUCUUAAAGAUGUGUGUCUUAUUUAGGGUUUCUAUUGCUGCAAUGAAACACCAUGACCAGAAAGCAAGUUGAGAAGGAAGGGUUCCAUUUGGCUUACACUUCCACAUCAUAGUUCAGCGGUAAAAAAAAAGUCAAGAUAGGAGCUCAAGUGGCAUGGUCCUGAUGCAGAGGCCAUGGAGGGGGGCUACUUACUAGCUUAUUUCUCAUGGCUUGCUCAGCCUGCUUUCUCAUAGAAUCCAGGACCACCAGCCUAAGAUGGCACCACCCUCAUCAGUCACUAAUUAAGACAAUGCCUUACCUCUGGAUCUUAUGGAGGCAUUUUCUCAAUUGAAGUUUUCUCACUUGUGUGUCAAGCUGACAUAGGACUACCUAGCAGAAUAUAUUAAUUAUUUUUCUAAUAUUUUAAUAUGUAUUAUGGGCUUAAUAGCAGGGAAGCUAGGAGUAGCUCAGAAAGAAAAAGACAAUAUUGAAUUGUCACCUUUCUAUUACUUUUAAAUUUAACUUUGGUGACAUAAAUCUUGUUCUCUUUCUUUAUAAAUCACUGUCUUGUUUUAGAAAAUGGCUUAUGUAUUUAAACUCUCCUUUUCAAAUCCCUAAAUUCAAAUAAUUAUCCUUGCAUGUAGGCGUUUAUCUCUUCAUAGUCUGUGUCUUAAAAAUUGAAAAGAUACAUCUGUUUUGAAUUGUCUAUUUUCCAAGAGCAGUCCACAUGUCCUCAUUUUAGUCAUGUGACUUUAUUCUGAUCCUAGGUUCAUAUAGAGAAACGUGGUUGGGGUGCUGGAGACACAGGUCAGCAGUUAGGAGCACUUGUUGGAGAGGCCUUGGGUUUGGUUCCCAGCGACAACAUGGUUGCAUUCUACCAUCUCUAAGUGCACUUCCAGGCAGUCAGAUGCCCUCUUUGUGUUUUGUAGUCACCAAACAUGCACAAGGUGCAUAUACAUACAUGUAGGCAAAACACCCAUUCACAUUUUCAAAAAGUAAAAUGAAUAAGUCUAAAAGAGUUUUUAAAGCAAAAUGGCUUUUCAUACCUGUAUAUGUAUGUCAUUUUUUUUCAUGUUUUCUCCGAUUUUCCUUCCAAUCUUCUUUCCUUUCUCUCUUUAGUUCUUUUCAACUACAAAUGACUCUCCUGCUAUGAGUCAGGUAUUCUCCUUGCAUUUGGCAAGGCACACUGUUGCAAUAUUUCCAUUUACAGUGAAAAAUGCAAAAUUCCACACAAGCUAAGAGAAUCCCUUCUGAGGGGCUGGCCACUAUCUGGGGUGCAGCCCAUUGCUGUUGCCUCUGUGAACAUCAUGGGCACUGGCUUUACUCUUCAGUGAUAUGACAGAAGGAAAGCAGCAGACCAAACCACAUGUCCCUUAAAUUAGAGAAGAUUUAUUAUUUAUAAUUCAUGGGGCACUUGUUACAGCCUGAAGCGCAUCUGUCUGCAAUGACAGCAUUCCAGAUGCUUGUGAUCUGUGCGAUCAACCUGGCAUCUAAAUUAUGAGAAAGUCUUGGAAGGGCAUUCUAAGUAGAGGAAACAGCAUGGAUAAAGGAAUGAAGGUGAGCAAUAAUCAAUUAUGUAGUACUUACUAAUUGUCAGGCAAUGAUCUCAGUAUGGGACAUAAAUUACCAAGUUAAUCAUCCUAACCUUACAGAGCACAGGCACAGAAAGCCCAAGUGACUGCAGGUAGUGUGGGCAGCAUGAGCCCAGUACUCAACAGCCCUCAGGUCACACUGAAUCUUAGAUAUACAAUGACAAGACUGGUUUGAUAUUAUUAAAACCAGAUUCUAGAAUUCAGGUUGGUUGGCUUGGAUGACACAGUAUCAUCAGUGGAAACAGCAAAAGAUGGGCUGUGGAGGAGAAUAAAAACAAUUUUAGAAAUGCUAACUCUGGGGUUAUUAGAGUAUAUUAAAUGGGGAAAAGCCAGUAAGCAAUGAAAAAAUUAACUCCAAGGACUAUAAGCCUGGGAUAAUAUUGUAGGAGUCAGAUAUAGCAUAUAGAAACUGAGGAGGAGGAGGAGGAAGAAGAAGAAGAAGAAGAAGAAGAAGAAGAAGAAGAAGAAGAAGAAGAAGAAGAAGAAGAAGAAGAAGAAGAAGAAGAAGAAGAAGAAGAAGGAAGAAGAAGAAGAAGAAGGAAGAAGAAGAAGAAGAAGAAGAAGAAGAAGAAGAAGAAGAAGAAGAAGAAGAAGAAGAAGAAGAAGAAGAAGAAGAAGAAAUGGGUUAAAAGUGUCUGCAGAGGCAGAAGAUGAUGUCUACUGAUGGGCAAAGAACCUUGACGAGAAAUAAUACUACACAGCAGGUAGAUGAGGGAGGGAGUCCAGGUAAACCAGAAGCAGUUCCAACAUGAAAGAAAAAAUAGUAUUUUGUGUUGUAGAAUUUAAUGCUUUCUGUUUAUCUUAUAGACUAUUCUUUCACUUAAAAUGUUUGUAAACAAUGAGCAUUUACAACUAUGUUAUCACUCAGUAGAAUACACAUGUAGUGUUAAUUACAAGCCAUAGAGGAACAUGUCACCUUUUACACAUCAUUUUAUUCAAGGCUUAUACUUGAUUGUAUCUUCCUCUGAGUAAAAAGCAAAUGUUUUCUCAUGCUUCAUAUCUUCUGGUAUUAUUGACUUUUUUCAUAGAUUUUCAAAAACUGUUAUACUAACUUUGAGUUGAACACUAUCUGUAAUUUACUUCUGUCACCUUUCUUUAUCUCAAAAUUUCUUACUUCAUCACAGCCUCUAGUAUUUUGGAGCCUCUAAAAUUACUUUCCUUAGGUGUAAAAUUUACCCACCUGUGUUUAGAGUCAUGUAAUGGUUAGGUCAUGGGCCAAGGAGUUAUCAGGCACAGAGCACAUUUAGUCAUCUCAUGAAUCAUUUGCUAUUUUUUACAAUCAACUUUUCUGCCUAUUAUGAAGUUUAAGAGAUGUUAUUCAAAUCAAACAAAGAAUGGAAUUCACACAGGAUGUGGAAUUUAUCACCAGUUUUCAGGGUUUCAAAAUUUUCAACCUUUUCAGAGAUUUGCUGUUGUUUGAUUUAUUUGAAAUUUGUUAAUUACGUCCAUAUUAAUUCAAUCAUAAUUUCUUCUACUAGCUUCUUUCAUGCUCACCACCUCUUCCUAUAUCAAGUGCCCUGGAGUUUAUGGAGUGUGAGACAUGAGUGUAGAGACUGCACUGUGUAGCACUGAAUAACCGAUGUGUAGAGAUCGUCAAAUGUCUAAUAUGUCUUUUAUUUUUAAAAGUAGUUAGUUUCUCUGCUUAACCAGUCUCAAUAACUUUGUCAUAUCCUAUAAGAAUCUCUGUCCAUUGUCUGUCAAUCUCUGUUUUUCUUUGUGUGCCUCUUUGUCUGUGUGUAUCUCUUUCUGUGCCUGUCUCUCUCAGUCUUUUCUCUGUAUCAAUGCUUCUCUGUAUCUGUCUCUCUGUCUCUCUCUGUCUUUGUGUCUCUGUGCCUCUGCCUCUGUGUUUCUGUGUCUGUCUCCAUGUCUCUUUGUGUCUCUCUCUGUCUCACUCAGCUUCUCUCUCUCUCAUAUACACACUCACCUCUAUACAGAGUUUUUCUUUAUUGUUAAUACAUAGAUGUGUGACAAUAACAGUUUUUGUUAAAAUUUCUGUUAAGGACAAGUUUAAAAGAAUAACAUUAGAUUUCUGAAACUAAGAGAAAGAAUCCAUGAUAAUAUCUUAUUUGUUCUUCCUCUAUGGUUUCAAAUAGUUGAUAUGAAUACUACUACUGUAUUCAACUAAUUGUGGUACUUAAUUCAAGAUGGUGAUGGAGCUUAAAAUUCAUGGACUCACAUUUUCAGGAAACCUGAGAAAGAAGUACUAGAAACAUGUUCACCUAUCUGUAGGUUUUUCUAAAAUUUGGGAAAGAUACACGAACAGAAACCUGACAAGACUACUGUCUGCUUUCCCUCUCACUUCCUCUCUUUCCAGAUGGAGCAACCAUAGGAAUGUGAACACUUGGGCGAAGGAGGAGUUAACCUUGAACACUGUGUCAGAUUCAGACAUUCCCUGGAUCCGGUCUCUAAAAUGUGCCAAUGUGCCACAUAAUCACUCUUCUUUCUUGAGUAUUUAGCUUUUCUUAAAUUCCAGUGUUUGUUUUGUUAGUUGCCUGGAAAAAUUGUCAUCAAGAAGCCAGUAGAUAGAGUGUACCAUUGAUAUAUUUGUGUAAUAUAUUUUCUAGUCGUAGGACACAUAUUUCUAAACAAAAGGAAAGCUGGCCACUUCACACAUGCAAUCCACUAAUUUGUUGUAUUGGUUUCUGUAUGUAAGAUUGACUAUAGCUUUCUCAUUUCGUCCUUGGCAUCAGGAGUUGAAUGAUGCUGGAGGAUGAGGUAUGCUCUAUUCGUCUGAAUGGCUGCCAUUUUUAACUGCCAUGCACUGGAAUCUUUAAGUGUGAUAGAAGCUGGUCUAAAUAGCUGACUAGAAACAGGUGCACUUCUAUCAGCUUAAUUAAGCUAAUAAAUAUUAACCAGUGACAAUUAAAUUGCUUUGUCCUACAAGAUAAUAAUUUUGCUGAGAAAUUAUUUUUUAUAAUCUGAUAACUAUAGUGCUGUGGAUUGAACAGGACCAUGAAAUGCUCACUAAAUGACUAUAUUACCAUAGAAAUCUCAGAGAGCUCAUAUUCUCUUUUUACAAAUGGUAUGGUCAGGACUCACUUUGGUAUUAUUUAUUUUGAGUGUGAAACUGUAAGAAACCUAAACAUCAUUUUUAAAUAAACAGUAUAGCUUCAUUUGCAUUCAUAUUCAGAGACUAUGGGUAUUUAGAGAACAGUACAAAUAACAACUAUAAAGUUGUCUAAAAGGAAAUGAAAAGGUAAAUAUUAUUUUAAUAAUUCAUAUGAUUUUUCUUGGUUUUAUACUUUCUAUAAAGUUUCCAAAAUGCCUACCUCUCUAUGUGGUAAAUUUGGUUAGACUGUUUCAUUGAAUUUUAGUUUUCCUUAUUGCUGGAAUGUAAAAGAAACUAUUUCAUUGGAUCAGCUUUAUUUCCAUCUGUUCCUUCUGUGCUGAGAAAAUAGAAAACUAGCAAAAUAUAGCAGAGGAAUCCAUAUCCUCUGGCAGUAACAUAUUUUUCUGUCAAAGAAUGGCCUGUUUCCUGAAAGACUAAAAUUUGACUAAAUGUCAAAAGAAGCCUUUUUCCUUAAAACAACUUACUUUUUGUUUGACAAGAAAUGAUCGUUUAAUUUCCUGUAUUGUGAAUGUGAAUCCUCUUACCACAAUGAAUUCAUAUUUCAUUUGAGUCUGGCUAUGUCUACAUGACACCAAGACAAAUGAGAUGUCCCAAAGAUGGAAGGCAUUUCUGCUGUCACUGGACACAAACACAACCAACGUGUUCCUGUGGGCAUCUCUCACUGGUGAUUUAGGGCUCACACCUCCAGGGAAGAAACAUUAUCAUCAUUAUUAUUACUUCUUAAUAAUGAUGGUAUAGUAACAAUAUUGAGGGGGAUCUAUUCUUACACUCAUCAGAUAUAAUCAGUAUUGUGGAGAAAAGGAUGUACAUUUCAGUUUCUUUUGAAAGCAUUGUAUCAGACUCAUAUAUCCAGGAUAUUGAUUAUAAUCAGAACUCUAAGAUUAAUUCACUUAAUAGUGGCAAGCUAUUCCAAGACAACUGGCAAAUGAGGGUGUUACUCUGGUUUGACUUUUUAAAUCACAUAGAGCAUAGAGAAUGCCAUUGCAUUUGAGAUGGCAACAGAUCAGAGUUAAAAUGGGUUUGAUUCUGCCCUUUGCGCCUAUGGAUACUAUCAAAUGUUCUCCUUCAGAGCACAUGAAACUGAAGACACUGGGAGAACCAGAGUUUAAGGUGUGCUUCUUGGCUGGCUGCUGAAUCGUAGCUGAUCUGUGCACAUUCCUGCCUAAUUCAUCUUGUGACAGAUGCCAGAAGUAGCAAGAUAGCUGCUUGGCUUUAGUUUUGCCAUCUGUUGUGAAACUAAUUGGUCUUGCUGUUUUAAUCAAUGAACCAAAAGGAUUCUAGAAUUUUCUGGGUCUCUGGGGAUUUGGACUCCACUCAUCCAGACUUCAUAUUUAUUUUAAUAAAAAAGAAAAAUUUUUUUACAAAGAAUAAUUACUUGCUCUGAUUUAUGUAAAUGUAAAAUGCUACAACAACAAUGUGUUAAUUUAAAAUAUUUUAUAUAUAAUGAAAAUUUAAUUCAGGAAAUGAUCAUAUUUCUGUGAAGUAUUCUAUUCUCUCUAUAUACAUCCUGAUUACAAUUUCUCUCCCUGUACUCCUCUGAGUCCCUACCCCCAUCUCUUCUUUCCCCCAGAUUCAUUCCUCCUCCAUUUCCCUUCAGAAAAGAGCAGGACUCUCAGGAAUAUCAAUUGAAUGCACUAAAGCCAGAUGCAAUAAGACUAGGCACAAACAUUUAUAUCAAGACUAGCCAAGGCAUCCCAGUAUGAGGAAAAGGGUCCCGAGAGCACGAGGAAGAAUCAGAGAAACCCCAACUCCUACUGUUUGGAGUCCCACAGAACAACAAGCUAACAAUAACAACAUACAUGCAGAGGGCCUAGUGCAGACCUGUUCAGGUCCCUGAUUGCCGUCUCCAUCUCCAUGAGCCCCCACAGCCCUGUUUAGUUGGUGUCUGUGGGCUGUGUUCUGGUACACUCAACCAAGUUAGAGUUGCUAUUCUGUAUGUUCCUCUUGAUGCUAGGUUUACAAUGUAGGUAAAGGAGAACCCCAAAGUUCUUCCUCUCUUGUAGCUUUUCUGUUAGAAAAGAUUGACAAAGAAAACUUGAACAAGUGGAUGAAGAGUGUCAGGUGAUAGAGUGUAGGUGUAAUCUUAGAUAAGCAGAGUGGGUUAUGAUGGUGCUGAGAGAUGGUAUUUCAAAAAGUAUUGAAAGGACGGGAGGGAUGAAAUAUAAUAUCUACAGUUACAGCACAGAAAAAGCCAGUGACCAGCUCAAAAAAAAAAAAAUGAGAAUGUUGCAAAGCUGAUAACUAGUGUUUCUUCAGAGCAGUUACAUUAGGACCUAUGAUUGUGACUCCUUGUGUUUUUCAAAGUUCCCUGCUGAUUCUCUUAUUCAAUCCGGGCUUAGAACCUUGCCUUUAUAUGCCUAGAAGUAUUUAAAAAUCUAAAAAUUCUAUUUACAUUUUUUUUAUUAAUUGGGAAAAUAAGUCUUAGAGACUUAGUUCAAUGAAGCUUGUUUGUUUACUAGUGUUCCAUUGCUUUGAGGGGUUUUUUUUUUGUUUGUUUGUUUUGUUUUGUUUUGUUUUUAAAGAUGGGGUUUUCUCUGUAGUCUUGGCCUGUCCUGACACUCACUCUGUAGACUAGUCUGGCUUCAGACUCAGAGAUCUGCCUGCCCCUGCCUUCUGAGUACUAGAAUUAAGGGCAUACUAAAGGCCACUACCAAGCUUUCCAUCAUUUCUAACUAGGGAACUUAUCUUUGUCUAAUGACCAAUGGGUCAGACAUAACUUAGAAUACAGGACAAUAAUUCGUAUUUUAGCUACAUAUAAUCAACUUAAACUAUUUUCUCUCCCUUCCUUUGCUGUUCUUCUGCUUAACAUCUAUCAGUCUUGGUAGUAUUUUUACCUUUCAUUUUUUUCUAGUGUUAAUUUUAUCCCAAUUUUAAGCAUACACACAAAAAUAUUUGAAUCCUAACUGUCUGUUACCAUGGAAUGUAUUAUUUUGUGCUUUAAUGGGAAAUCUUUUGGUAGGUGGGCAUUUCUCUUAGAUACCUUGGAAGCCAGAGGUUGCCUGGAGAUCUUGCUUUCCAGAAUGCAUCCUCUUUAAUGCUGCUUUCCAGUAUCUGUGGUAUAAACGCUCUAACUGCAAAUGACUGAAAGCUGUUAAUGCAACAUUAUUGUAGUCACACAUCUUUAUAAAUAUUUCCUCCACACGACAUAGCUCUCCUCAGGAGUAAAUGACAGUCAAGUGCAGUUCUAUGUUCAGGAAUCCUUAGUUUGUCUAUACUGUUUAUUUUUUAAAGCCAUUUGGAUCAUUAUAAAAUACUAUUGAGUGUUUUUUUAAAUGGCUAUAUUAUUUUCUAGCUCUCAAAAUUUGCUAUAGUUGAAUGGGUCAUGCUCAAAGGCAUCUUACACUGAUUUUAGCAGACCAAUGUAUCUGACUCACUUUGUGGCCCCACGUGAGGGAGACAAAGUUUCAAGGACCAGUGCAUCUGACCCUGGUGGGAGUUAGUUCAUCAGAGUAGGAAGAAGUGAGUCUGAGAACCAGAGAUGUCCCAGGGGACAAAUGAACUACUGACCCUGCAAUCUAAGAAACAAAGCACAGGCUUCUCCCUAAAUGAAUUAGGGAAUGGUACUGUGGUUCUAAUGCACAGAAGUUCUUUAUGAGUUUUUUGACAUUGCUUUAUUUGGAUUUACAUGGGCUUUUGCCAAGUGGUAUAAACCCAAUUGCUUUCUAUGUGUUUCUUUAACAGAUGAUGUAGGUUGCUUCUAACUUAGGGGUGGGUAUGGAAGCAAAACCAUUUUGUUAGCUACUUUCAACUGUCUAUUCUAUUUUUUUCACUAUUAGUGGAAAUGACUCCAAGAAGGAUGGGAGUGUACCUUAAACAUAUCAAAAUAAGCAUCAUUGUACUCUGGUUAAAAAAAAAAUAAUAGCAAAGUGUGUGCACAUACCAUACAUGAAAUAAAACAUCUAACUUGUGAAGGUAUAUUUUUCUCACUGGGAGGAAAUUUCUUGAGUCUGUGUUAAUAUGAUGAACAUAGAAGCUGAAAGACAUUGUAGAAAUCAAACCACAAGAAGAAUCAGGUAUGGGUACAAUGAUAUAGUCAUCCAUGGAGACGUUAGAGCAAAACAGCAGAGUCCCAUCAAGGCAAGGAAGCAGGAAGACUGGGCAGAAGGUAAUUGAGUAGGCUGGGUCAAAGCUAAGCUGAAGUUCCAUAAACAGUCAAGAGUUUUGUGUUUGUUAUUUCUUGAUAACAUAUAUAUCUAAUGAUAUAUUGGUUUGGCUAAGUUGUCAUCAUAGUGUUAAAUAUUUAUCAUCGUACAAAGGCUGGGUGAAGAACUUACACCCUUUUCUUGCUCCGAUGUGUUCAAUGAGUUACUUGAUUAGUUUCCAUGAUGGUAAUUUGAUAUACCUAUGUUCCCACCCCUACAGUCACUUCACACUAAUCACUGUGCAGAGUCACUUCACACUAAUCACUGUGCAGAGGCAUAUUUUCUACCACCAACAAUAAGUCACUUAUGAGCCCGUGCCACGUGGGAGAUGCCAGAGAAAUGGCAUGAUUUACCUGUCCACCAAGAGCUCUACCACUUUCUGUCCUCAAGCUAAAGGCAGCAGCUGCAUGUAAAACAGGGUCUCCUGGGGCACAGUGUGGAAACCCACCGAUCUGAGCAAUACAGAGUAGCUUAGGCCAAGGCAAAGCCUAAUCUCAUGCUGUUCAACUGAAUAGCAUGGUUGAUGUUAGCCUCACUGCAUAUCUUCCCCAGAUGGUAAGUGCUUCCCAGGUAAGUUUGGAAGAACAGACAAUUGCUGCAAAGUCUAGGUAGGACAUGAGAAUGGGAAGAGACUGGAUUCCAGUUGCUAGAAAUGCGUUUGUGUAGAAAACAGAACAGAUUCUGAAAAAUAAUGGAUGUAAUGGUACUGGUUGAAGUUCAGGAAGUGAUCAACAUUCUUUUUAAGUCUUUGCUCAAUAGAAUGAGCUUCCAAAUGAGUUGGAUUUAUUGGUCACUAUGUGUUUCAUUGCUGUACAAAAGAGCAAUUUCAUAAAAUACAAAAACUAACUAACAAAAGGUUACUGGAAAUUCUUUAGGUAUAUGAUGUGUUCUGCUUUCUCUCUCCUUUGAAGGUUUGAAGACCUUGUGAAUUGGGUUAAGAAAUGUUUAGUAAUGUUGUAAGUAGUGAAGGGUAACCUGAUUUGAAAAGUAGUACAGAAGGAAAAGGUCAAAUGUGUGACCUUUAUCUGGAAUGUUUUCUUUCUAUUACCUCUCAUUUUGGACAUUUCACUUAUGAACACUUUAUAAAACAUGACAUUGAAUUUGCUUGUGGUUUUUUUUAUUACUUCCUAUGUUGAUGUGACUAUUAUCUUUUAUAAAUCAUUUUUUUGAUCUUCAAUUUAAACUGUGUUUAAAAUUCACAUCCAUUUGUAUGAUGACUUCUGAAUGAGUUGAAUUUUUUAUGAAUUAUAGUACCAUCAAUCAUCUUUAUGAAUUUUGGCAUUUGUUUUACAAAUAGAGACCUAUUGAGUAGAAAUAAAUCUCUGAUUAAUUUUUAUUUAGAAAAUACUAUUAUUUUUUCCAACCUAGAUUCAUUUUUUUCUAUGUUAUAGGCAUGAAAGUUACAAAUAACCACCUAGUAUAAUUUUUUUCUCUUCACUUCGGAUGCCCAGAUGCCCAUUUGAGUGAAAAUCAGUGCGUCUCAAUGACAAUUUCUUUUCUUUUCUUUCUUUCUCUCUCUCUCUCUUUCUUUCUUUCUUUUUUUUUUUUGUUUUUGGUUUUUUGAGACAGGAUUUCUCAGUGUCAAUUUCUAAUCACAGUUCUUGCAUAAACAUAUACAUAUUGCAUAUACAUAUAAAGUUGUUUGACCUUUUAAAAUCCUUAUACCCUCUUGAAUCUGCUACCUAGAAUGUGAGAGCAAAGUCUCCUCUGAGAAAGUGACCUGGAGGCCCUCACAUGCUCUAGCAUUGUUUUCUUGGAAAGUUAAACUGAAAAGACAGGAGUUCCAAAAUAAAAGAAGAAACAUGGGAAGAUAGAGAAGGAAUAUUUACACAAAGGCAUUCACCAGAUGUGACCUUUAAUCUUGAAUAUUAACUUGAUAAGAUUGGAAGAAGAUGUCAGAGAGGUUAGUGCAUACACCUCUCGGUAUUUUCAGGACAUUCUCAGAGAGAAUUAAGGAGGAAAGAUCUGCCCUUAAUGCUGGUCACCCUGUCCCACAGACUAGGGCCUUCUUAAGAUAAACAGAGAAAAGAGAAAGCUAGAUAGUACUUCCUAGGCAUGUCUUUCUCCUGUUUCCUGGUUACCCUGAGGAAGCUACUUUGAUCCAGCAUAGCCUCCUUACUGUGAUAACCCAAACACUCUGAACCUGUGAGCCAAAGAAAUCCUUCCCUAUGCUUUGGUUUGAGAGGUUGAUCAUCUUAGAAACAUUGUCAGUGGUCAACACAGAGAACAAGCUGGUUAAUCUGUGCAGGGAUAGGAACCACCUGUUAGGCACAUGUCCUUUCUCCAGUGAGAGUAAAAGUGAAUGUGUAACUGAAGAAGACUCAAUCAUUGCAUCAUUACAACCAUCAGGAAACAUAUUAACAGUCACUGCUGGGCUGUACUACUAGAAUUUCUGUUUCAGUAUGCUAGAGUUGGCUUAGAAAUUCUAUUUCUUAAAAGAUCUUUGGUGAACUAAAAGCUGCUGAACCAAUACACAUUUUGAGAACCACCUAGCUACAUUAUAACCAAGAAUAAUGUUUUUCUCUAUUUCUGUUAAUGCCCCUUGGUCAUUAUUGUGGGCCCACUAUUCUGGAAACAUACAUUGUAUCCACAGGGUCAGAAUGUAUUAAAUAAUAAUAUAUUCACCAAGUUUGAUGUUUUCAACAGCAGCAAUUUGUAAGAUAAUACCACCUACUACAGUUAUCUGCCCAAGGUAAAUCUUUUAUUCCAAUCUUAAUUAUUUAAUAUUAACUUUCACACUGCAUAGCACACAGUAAAUACAUCUGUAUAUCUAUAUGCACAUAUGUGAUUUAUAGAAUGAAUACAAAUAAAAGAGGUUGCAGCAGUGUUGAAAAGGUUUCAGAAGUUGGCUGAGAGUCUGUAGUGAUGAGCUAAUGAACCAGAGCAUUGCUAGGAGCUGCUGCUGUAGCUUCUUGAGUCAGAGUUUAAGAGCAAAGCUAUAGACUCCAAGUUAAAAGACCAAACAGGAAUACCUGAGCAAAAAAAGCAGAUUUGGUCCAAGUCCAGCUGUGUAAACAGGUAGACAGGCAAGCUGUUGUAUGACUAUCACAAGCUGAAGAAUGAGUUGAACUGAAGCUCUGUGGACAGUCUGUAUCUCCUGCUUAUCAGUUCUUGUCACAAAGACACACAUACAUAUACACACACACACACACACACACACACACACACUCACACUCACACAUGCAUGCACACAUGUAUGCCAGGUAUCCGAUGAUAGAUUUGGACCAGUCCGUGCAGUAUACGGUGUCCAUCACUUUAUAGAAUCCAGGUGAGGGAGUUACAGCAUGUUCUUGGUCUGGCAUAUCUGGUAAAUUCUUGGCCCUGGUUUCCCUGGUAGAACUGUAAUACCCUCUGUGAUCGUUUGGUUACAAUUAACCCUAGUAAAAUUAUAGGACAGCUCACUUUCUUUUCCCAGGACUAAACCACUUAUCUAUCUGUGCUAGAUAGUGGUGCCUGACAUAUUGUGGUUUGUGGGUUCAUUCAGGGGCUACAGAAAUCAUUCUCCCCACAAUGAAGUCAAGACAUGUAGAAGAAUGUUCUAGUGUAAAGUUCAGCCCGAAGGAAAAAAAAGGAUGUAUACAAUAUAGACUGUAUUAAAGAAGGAAUUGGAUUGCUUGCACAUUACAUUUCUAGAAAAUUCUAAGAUGAACUUAGAGCUAUUUGCUGAGUCACCAUUAUGAGAAUGAUCUAUGUUAUAAACGAGAAUUUUUUAGGACUAUGUGUGCAUUUAGUAAAAGUGGCUGACAUUAGCUGAAAGGAGACUUUAUUUUAGGCAGAUACAAGAUGGUGAUUACUGGUUGGAUCAUUAAGAUAGAAAAGUCACCAUGUAAUUUAGCAUUAGAAACACAUAAUUAAGAGUUUGAAGGGAAUUUAGUGUUAAUCUUCAUCAUUUUCCAAAUGAGAAAGUGAAAACAGAAAAAAAAAAAAAACUUAACAAAGAGCUAGUGAAAAACUAAGAAGUCACAAGCCACAUAGAAAGUUUCUAGUAGAAAACAGGCUAGAGAUACCCAGUCAUUGCUUCUACUCCCCAGUAUUGCCUGUAAUGAUAUCUUCUCACUCCCAACAGGCAAAUAAAGAGUGGGAGCAUGGAUCACAGAAGCUUAUAUUCUCCUAGAUAUUUGUGAGAGGCAGAUUCAGAACCUUGUGGGUAUUUCACAGUUCAUCAUGACUCAUCAGUCCCACUGGCUCAAAAGAAAAGAAAAUACUUAUCCUUGAAAAUCAAUAUAUUUUUCUUUCUAAUUAUGCAGUUAAUAAAGACUCAUUAAGCUUGUCAUGAAUCAAUUAAUUUUUUCUUAAUGUAGCCCAGGUUAAAGAUACAAUGAAUGCAAAAUCUAUUUAUCUGCAGAUUCUUCAGGAUUUCCACUUGUCAGGCUUAAAAUCUCCCAAGUUGGAGUCUCACCCGCCUAAUUGCUUAGUCAGUUGUUCCCAUUAAUAUGUAAAUCAACUUGUUCGAAUUCUAAGGUGGAGUGAAACAGGACUGUGGGGGAUGGGCAAGGGUGUGAGGAAGAGUCGCUUUGGGCACUCUGUUGAUGCUAAUACUUGGAUUGCUGCUCCUUCAUAUUCACAAUCCCCUGAGAAGCUGUCUUCCCAGAUUUCGAGCAAUUGUGUUUUUUCUGUACUACUUCAGAAGAUUGGGUUGUUACCCUUAAAUAGAAUCAAUCAGCUUGUGUCAAAUCAUUUGGUACAGGAUCAGCAGGCACAGUCUGUACUUUAGCUAUGAUGCCAAAGAGCUAAAUGUGUUGUGGUCAACAUUUUACUUACUGGGCUUAGAACUGGCCUCGGCACCUAGAGUGGCAAUUUAUGUGCAGCAGAUGGUAAAGAAUUCCAUUUUCACUUCAUUUUCUUCUACAACUAGAGAAGCAAGGUAACUGGUCUUAAAACAUGCUGUGGUAAAUUUCCUCUAUGUGUAUGGAAGUGUGUCCGUGCACUUCAUGCAGAGGAGUAAACACACUUACUUUACCUUGUUCUAAAAAGAACAGAUGCUCAGAGCUCAGUAUCACUUAUGGAUCCUGGUUCCCAAACUGACCAGUGUACUUCAUAAAUUCCUUUGCUGUCUCUAUUAAGUGCCUAAGACACAACAGAUCUGAAACAUUGCCUCAACUCUUUGAACCAGCUUCACAUGUCAUUAUUUCCACUUUCAGACGGGUUAACUCAUUUGAGGGGUGACAUAAAAUUUUAGAGUAAGGUUUUUUUUUUUUUUCUUCAUGUUUUGUUACUGUAACUGAAUUGUCAUCAAGCAAAAUUUCAAAUUAAUGACAUGCUUUUUAAAUAGUUGUUGUUUUAUGCAUAUAUGUAUGCCACAGGCCUGGCAAGCUAUAAAUCUUGGUGCCUGCCUGGAUGAGGAGGAAAUGGAAUAGAAGAGGAGGAAAACAACAAACAAAAACAUGCCAUUUGUAAAUGCCCCCAGGUGGGAAGGCCUGGAGCAUAACUUCUAGAAAGAGAAUGGGGAAGGUCAGAGUGUCCAGGAAGGCAUGCCAAUCUUUGGUCAGAAUCCAAAAUAAGGAAAAAGAAAUAGAAGAAAAUGAAAAAGUUGUGUUUUUUAGUAAUUCUUAAAAAAAAAAAUAUGGGCAGACCUAAGUUAUUGGCCACAUGGCUCCAACUCCAUAAGAGUUGCCAGGAACAGCUUUCCUGGCAAGAAAGUACAAUAUUUACUAAAGGGAGAAAUUUUUUCCCCCAACUUUUUAGCAUAACUUAUGCUGUAUCAGACUUCCCCAAUGGUGGUCUCUUGGCCAAGUGAUUGACCAGUCCAAGUGGAAUGCUAGAUUUCCACCUAGAGGUAAACUCAAUUCUUUUGAUUGGGAGAAUACAGCUUUCCCUUAAUGGAUCUUUAGAUAAUCAAGUUAUCUAAAAUAUCCCAUGCUCAAAACCACUUAUAGUUUAGUUGAGUAAGCCUAGUACAGAACUUACCAAGACCAGUCAAAGAGAGAAUAGAAGACUCCUCAUUCAAAAAUGACUAAAAAAUCUUUUUAUAUCUCUUUAUUUUUUGAGACAUGGUCCCUCUAUGUAAUCCAGGCUGAUCUGGAAUUCACUGUGUAAAUCAGCUUGACUUUGAACUCCCAGAGUUUGUCUGUAACUUCCUCCCAAGUAUUGGAUUAGGGUGUGGAAAUGAAUAGGAUCAAAAUACAUUGUAUGGAGUCGUCAAAGAAUAACUAAAACCAUCUCUCUCUCUUUUUUUUUAAACUCCCUGGAGCCUUCCCCAUCCCAGUCACCAGCUCAUCCCAGAGAUGCCAGCCCACUCAUUGCUGUUCUCUCUCCCAGUCCUCCCAUAUACACAACUGAACACAUUUUCCUUCCCCACUCCCUCUCCCACCUAGCUCCCUCCCUCCAUCUACCUCUGAUGUCUUAUUUUAUUUUCCCUUCUGAGUGAGGUUCAAUCAUCCUCCCUUGGGCCCUCCUUGUUACUUAGCUUUUUGGGGUCUGUGGAUUGUAGUUAUCCUGUACUUUAUGAUUAAUAUCCACCACGAGUGUCUUUAUUGGUCUGGGAAAUGUUACUCAGGAUGAUAGUGUCUAGUUCGAUCCAUUUGCCUCCAAAUUUCAUGAUGCCAUUAUUUUUAACAGCUAAGAAGUCUUCUAUUGUGUAAAUGAACCAUAUUUUCUUUAUCCAUUCUUAUUUGAGGGACAUCUAGGUUGUUGCCAGAUUCUGGCUAUCACAAAUAAAGCUUCUGUGAACAUAAUUGAGGAAGUGUCCUUGUGGUAUAGUGGAGAUCUGUUGGAUGUAUGCCCAGGAGUGAUUGAUAUAUCUGGGUCUUGAGGCAGAAUUAUUCCCAAUUUUCUGAGAAACUACCAAACUGAUUUGUAACAUGGUUGUACAAGUUUCCACUCUCACCAGCAAUGGAGGAGUGUUCCCCUUGCCUCACAUCCUCUUAAAUCAGCACAUGAAACACAUUUUCUAAUUUAAUGAGUGCAGAGUGCUUAAUAACAUUAAAGGUAAAAUGGUGUCAUCUUAUAGUUACAAAAAGUAGCAGAAAAGAAAUUCCACAGUGGUGAAUAUGUAACAGAUUCUGAAAGAAAACUUCCAAUGUCAAAGUCUAGGACAAUUUGACCACCAAAAUAAAUAUAAAAAAAUUACACAGAACCCAGAGCAUUAAAAGAAGAUCCAACAUCUGUAGUAACCUAAAUAAAUGUUUAAGCAAAUAAGUAAAUCAGGGAUCAUGAAUGAUAGCUGUGUGGUUAAGAGUGCUUGCUGCUCUUGGAGAGGACCCAAAUUUGUUUCCCAAAACCUACAUUAAGGAGCUUACAAACAUUUCUGUAACUCCAAGGGAUUGAACACUCUCUCUGACCCUACAGAAUUAUUCACUUAUAGACAUCAAAACAGUAGAAACAAAAAAGGAGAGAGAGAGAGAGGGAGGGAGGGAGAGAGAGAGAGAGAGAGAGAGAGAGAGAGAAUCAAGUAAAACUUCAAAAAUAGUUUAGGAAUAUAAAGCAAAUUUAUAUACAAGCAAAUUCUUGCUAUAGAUAUGUUACCUUUAAGAGUAGCACAUUGCACAUAGCACAUGCCUUAGAAAGUCAGUGUGACAAAGAAAGAAGUGACAGCAGAGAAAACUGAGAAAUGGACCUCAGUCAGAUGAAUGAGGUAAACUUCAUCAGUGGUAAAGCAUGCAACAACAGGCACUCAUGGUUUUCCAUGAAGAGAAAUACUGUUGCUGCAUGCUUACAUUCAUAAGUACAAUUGGUUCAGUUUUUAUAAUGUUACUUGGAUGUAUGUUUUCAGGGCUGACCAUCUGUUGGUUAGAUAACCAAUUGUCAUGCUUUUCUCUGAAAGACAUGUUCUUUCAGCAUUCCUUAGUUGUCUGUAGCUCUUUGUGUAGAAUUGAGGCCUCAUGUGUUUUUACUUAUCAACUUUGGCAUGUCUACUGGUGUUGUCCUUGUUCUUCUCAUG